CAUUAAAUAGCUUAAUAUAAAGCGUUAACCUUUUAAGUUAAUGAUGAGAUAACUCUUUAAUGU
rnacentral:tRNA from 1 species